rnacentral:rRNA from 1 species
UACGAAGGGGGCUAGCGUUGUUCGGAAUUACUGGGCGUAAAGCGUGCGCAGGCGGCUUCUCAAGUCAGGGGUGAAAGCCCAGAGCUCAACUCUGGAAUUGCCUUUGAGUCUGAGUGGCUUGAGUACGAGAGAGGUGAGUGGAAUUCCCAGUGUAGAGGUGAAAUUCGUAGAUAUUGGGAAGAACACCGGUGGCGAAGGCGGCUCACUGGCUCGUAACUGACGCUCAUGCACGACAGCGUGGGGAUCAAACAGG